AUCUUUGGUUUAACCUGCCCAAUGUAAAUUAUGAAUGGCCGCGGUACUUUGACCGUGCUAAGGUAGCAUAAUCAGUUGGCUUUUAAAUGGAGUCGAGUAUGAAUGGGAAAACCGGGCCUAGCUGUCUCAGUAUUACUAGUUUGAAUUUACUGUUUAAGUGAAAAAGCUUAAAUUUUGAAAAGGGACGAGAAGACCCUUAGAAUUUUGUUUAAAGUGAUUUUUAAUUACUAUUAUUUUGUUGGGGCGACAAAGAAAUAAUUAAAACUUUCUUCAAUAUACUAGCCGGUAUUAUCAAGCGGGAAUAAAUUACCUGAGGGAUAACAGCAUAAUUUUAAAAUUAAGUUUAUGACCUCGAUGUUGGACUAGGAAGCUUUUGGGUUAGCUGCUCAAUUUGCGGAUUCUGUUCGAAUUUUAACUCCUACGUGAGCUGAGUUCANA
rnacentral:rRNA from 1 species